UAUCAGAAUUACACAAUGAAGCAAGCUCUGAGCAAUUUUAAUCACUAUAAAUGUCCUUCCUUGAGAAACCUUACACCCCCACCGCCAAGGGAAGCAGCAUGCUAACCAUGUACAGAAUCACGCUGACUCCGUUUCCACGUGGCUCACCAUCUCCCUCAGAAGACAGGAUUCCUAAGCUCUGGCCCCAGCUUGCCCAGGAUGUGGCAUGACCUCUAACAAGCCCUUCUUCUUCUGAAACAUAACUUUUGAAUGGAUCAUUUUUUACAAGCCAAGAUUGAAUUCUACCAUAACUGAAGAGCUGAGACACAAUCCACACAGUUUUUCUCAGGAUACCACAUAUUUACCCACUAUGUUUCCUUAGGCAUCUGGAGGCAGUGACAGUUUCUCAGAUUUUCCUUGUUUUUGAUAAUCUUGAAACGCUCCUACAGCCACCUGGCCAAGGUUAGUGUCAACAGUCGUGUUGUCUCGAUAGCCUGUG